rnacentral:rRNA from 1 species
AUUGAACGCUGGCGGCAGGCCUAACACAUGCGAGUCGAGCGGAUGAAGGGAGCUUGCUCCUGGAUUCAGCGGCGGACGGGUGAGUAAUGCCUAGGAAUCUGCCUGGUAGUGGGGGAUAACGUCCGGAAACGGGCGCUAAUACCGCAUACGUCCUGAGGGAGAAAGUGGGGGAUCUUCGGACCUCACGCUAUCAGAUGAGCCUAGGUCGGAUUAGCUAGUUGGUGGGGUAAAGGCCUACCAAGGCGACGAUCCGUAACUGGUCUGAGAGGAUGAUCAGUCACACUGGAACUGAGACACGGUCCAGACUCCUACGGGAGGCAGCAGUGGGGAAUAUUGGACAAUGGGCGAAAGCCUGACCCAGCCAUGCCUCGUGUGUGAAGAAGGUCUUCGGAUUGUAAAGCACUUUAAGUUGGGAGGAAGGGCAGUAAGUUAAUACCUUGCUGUUUUGACGUUACCAACAGAAUAAGCACCGGCUAACUUCGUG